rnacentral:ncRNA from 2 species
UACAGAGGGUGCAAGCGUUAAUCGGAUUUACUGGGCGUAAAGCGUGUGUAGGUGGUCGCGUAAGUCGGUUGUGAAAUCCCUGGGCUCAACCUGGGAAUUGCAGUCGAUACUGCGUGACUCGAGUUCGGUAGAGGGCGACGGAAUUCCCGGUGUAGCGGUGAAAUGCGUAGAUAUCGGGAGGAACAUCGAUGGCGAAGGCAAUCGCCUGGGCCUGAACUGACACUGAGACACGAAAGCGUGGGUAGCAAACAGG